AUUGAACGCUGGCGGCAGGCCUAACACAUGCAAGUCGAGCGAGCGGCGGACGGGUGAGUAAUGUCUGGGAAACUGCCUGAUGGAGGGGGAUAACUACUGGAAACGGUAGCUAAUACCGCAUACCAUCAGAUGUGCCCAGAUGGGAUUAGCUAGUAGGGGGGGUAAUGGCUCACCUAGGCGACGAUCCCUAGCUGGUCUGAUAGGAUGACCAGCCACACUGGAACGGAGACACGGUCCAGACGCCUACGGUAGGCAGCAGUGGGGAAUAUGGCACAAUGGGCGCAAGCCUGAUGCAGCCAUGCCGCGUGUAGGAAGAAGGCCUUCGGGUUGUAAAGCACUUUCAGCGAGGAGGCGUUACUCGCAGAAGAAGCACCGGCUAACUCCGUGCCAGCAGCCGCGGUAAUUC
rnacentral:rRNA from 1 species